UGGAUUUUUUGCUUUCACAGGCCCUACACUGUCACAGGCGGUGGCGGAGGAGGAGGAGGAGGACCAGGACUCUCUGUCCCUCACCACACUGCACCCAUUAAGCCCUACACUGGAACAGGCCACGGAGGAGGAGGAGGAUGAUGAUGAUGCUGCUGCAUUUAGUGACGACGAGCCAGAAUACAUUUUUGUCCGUCGCCAACCAGUGGAGGAGACACCUG